GACGAAGGGGGCUAGCGUUGUUCGGAAUUACUGGGCGUAAAGCGCGUGUAGGCGGUUGUUCAAGUCGGGUGUGAAAGCCUUGAGCUCAACUCAAGAAAUGCACUCGAUACUGGAUGACUUGAGGACCGGAGAGGAUAGUGGAAUUCCCAGUGUAGUGGUGAAAUACGUAGAGAUUGGGAAGAACACCAGUGGCGAAGGCGACUUACUGGACACAUAUUGACGCUGAGGUGCGAAAGCGUGGGGAGCAAACAGG
rnacentral:rRNA from 1 species